AGACACUGCAUCCCCAAAUUCUGAUAAGAUGUGUUUCUCAUUAGGAUCAAAAUAUUUCCUCUUGUUUUAAGUAUCAUCCAGCCUACCACUCCGACUGGCUGGUUUGCUGUCUCAACUCUCUUGGCUGCGUUAUCCUGCCCCCAGCCUCCAGCCGACCAGCCUGGUGCACUCAGGAAGGAAGGUUAGUUGUCAGACGAGAGCCGAUUCAUAACGCGGCUGUGCUGCCUCAGAUUUUAAUACAUCAGGCAAACCCACA